GACGAACGCUGGCGGCGUGCUUAACACAUGCAAGUCGAACGGUAAGGCUCCAGCUUGCUGGGGUACACGAGUGGCGAACGGGUGAGUAACACGUGGGUGACCUGCCCUGCACUUCGGGAUAAGCCUGGGAAACUGGGUCUAAUACCGGAUAGGACCAUGGUGUGGAUACUGUGGUGGAAAGUUUUUUCGGUGUGGGAUGGGCCCGCGGCCUAUCAGCUUGUUGGUGGGGUAAUGGCCUACCAAGGCGGCGACGGGUAGCCGGCCUGAGAGGGUGGACGGCCACAAUGGGACUGAGACACGGCCCAGACGCCUACGGGAGGCAGCAGUGGGGAAUAUUGCACAAUGGGCGGAAGCCUGAUGCAGCGACGCCGCGUGUGGGAUGACGUCCUUCUGGUUGUAAACACCUUUCACCAUCGACGAAGGGUUUCUGACGGUAGAUGGAGAAGAAGCACCGGCUAACUACGUG
rnacentral:rRNA from 1 species